rnacentral:lncRNA from 1 species
GUAUAAUCGGUAGAACAACAUCUACUACAUUGGAGCAUAAAGUGUAAUGGAUUUUGUUAUUGUCCAAGGUUCCAGAAACCGUCAGGGAACAGACGGGAUCUGCACCUUGCUAAAUUGACAUGGGAAGUGAAUCGGCGGCUCAAGCUGGAGGAGAUAGAGAGAGAGGUGUGCCGGGAACUACGUCUGGAGCGUUCCUCCAAGAUACCAAUCUCCCACAGAAGCGAGGUAAGGGUUUGGAAAGCUCUGAGUAAGUCUUCAAGUCAAUAUAACAAUAAUCGUAAAUUCUCUAUGUCUUUCCUUCGUCUCUUUCACAUUGCAGAUUAUGAAAACUGUGGAGUGGGUCCCACCUCCAGACUCUUAUGGACCAGGUCCACGUGACCUCACUUCCCCAUCAGGAGCAUCAAGUGACGGUUUCUACACAUCUUCUAUGACUUUUGACUCUUUUGACUCGUAAGUUGUUUUUACGAAUUGAUACACCACUAAAAGAGAUUGCCAUUUCCACAGUAGUCUU